rnacentral:rRNA from 1 species
GGGGGCGACAGCAAUAUGAAGGUCAGGCUGAAGACCUUACCCGAUUAGCUGAGAGGUGGUGCAUGGCCGUCGUCAGUUCGUACUGUGAAGCAUCCUGUUAAGUCAGGCAACGAGCGAGACCCACGUCCACAGUUGCCAGCAUACCCUCCGGGGUGAUGGGUACACUGUGGAGACCGCCGCUGCUAAAGCGGAGGAAGGAGUGGGCAACGGUAGGUCAGUAUGCCCCGAAUCUCCCGGGCUACACGCGGGCUACAAUGGUUGGUACAAUGGGCAUCUACCCCGAAAGGGGAAGGAAAUCUCUUAAAGCCAAUCGUAGUUCGGAUUGAGGGCUGCAACUCGCCCUCAUGAAGCUGGAAUCCGUAGUAAUCGCGUUUCAACAGAACGCGGUGAAUACGUCCCUGCUCCUU